GAGCGGCGAACGGGUGAGUAACACGUGAGUAACCUGCCCUAGGCUUUGGGAUAACCCUCGGAAACGGGGGCUAAUACCGGAUAUGACUUCCUGCCGCAUGGUGGGGGGUGGAAAGUUUUUUCGGCUUGGGAUGGACUCGCGGCCUAUCAGCUUGUUGGUGGGGUAAUGGCCUACCAAGGCGACGACGGGUAGCCGGCCUGAGAGGGCGACCGGCCACACUGGGACUGAGACACGGCCCAGACUCCUACGGGAGGCAGCAGUGGGGAAUAUUGCACAAUGGGCGGAAGCCUGAUGCAGCGACGCCGCGUGAGGGAUGACGGCCUUCGGGUUGUAAACCUCUUUCAGCAGGGACGAAGCGUGAGUGACGGUACCUGCAGAAGAAGCACCGGCCAACUACGUGCCAGCAGCCGCGGUAAGACGUAGGGUGCGAGCGUUGUCCGGAUUUAUUGGGCGUAAAGAGCUCGUAGGCGGCUUGUCGCGUCGACUGUGAAAUCCCGCGGCUCAACUGCGGGCUUGCAGCCGAUACGGGCAGGCUAGAGUUCGGUAGGGGAGACUGGAAUUCCU
rnacentral:rRNA from 2 species